rnacentral:rRNA from 1 species
UACGGGGGGGGCAAGCGUUGUUCGGAAUUACUGGGCGUAAAGGGCUCGUAGGUGGCCAACUAAGUCAGACGUGAAAUCCCCAGGCUCAACUUGGGAACUGCGUCUGAUACUGGAUGGCUUGAAUUCGGGAGAGGGAUGCAGAAUUCCAGGUGUAGCGGUGAAAUGCGUAGAUAUCGAGAGGAACACCUGCGGCGAAGGCGGGUUGCUGGACUGACACUGACGCUGAUGCGCGAAAGCUAGGGGAGCGAACGGG